ensembl:rRNA 5S_rRNA 5S ribosomal RNA
UUAAGAGUAGCUAGCUCUCUGCAACUCUCACAUGGUCGCCCACUAAAGCUAAGCAGGGCUGCGCCCGGUCAUUACCUGGAUGGGAGAUCACAUGGGAAAGCUAGUUUUCUGCUGGA